UGAUUACGAGAGUACUGAGUGAUAUUUCGAUGCAUGUGAGACGAUGUGAGCCAUGAUG
rnacentral:snoRNA from 1 species